GAAGGUCCCAAGCGUUAUUCGGAAUCACUGGGCGUAAAGGGAGCGUAGGCGGCGUGGUAAGUCAGAUGUGAAAUCCCGGGGCUCAACCCCGGAACUGCAUCCGAUACUGCCAUGCUAGAGGAUUGGAGAGGUAGCUGGAAUUCUUGGUGUAGCAGUGAAAUGCGUAGAGAUCAAGAGGAACACUCGUGGCGAAAGCGAGCUACUGGACAAUUCCUGACGCUGAGGCUCGAAGGCUAGGGUAGCGAAAGGGAUUAGAUACCCCUGUAGUCCUAGCAGUAAACGGUGCACGCUUGGUGUGAGGGGAAUCGACCCCCCUUGUGCCGGAGCUAACGCGUUAAGCGUGCCGCCUGGGAAGUACGGUCGCAAGACUA
rnacentral:rRNA from 1 species